CCUACGGGCGGCUGCAGUGGGGAAUAUUGGACAAUGGGGGCAACCCUGAUCCAGCCAUGCCGCGUGUGUGAAGAAGGCCUUCGGGUUGUAAAGCACUUUAAGCAGGGAGGAAGGCUCGUUGGUUAAUAACCAGCGGGAGUGACGUUACCUGCAGAAUAAGCACCGGCAAACUCCGUGCCAGCAGCCGCGGUAAUACGGACGGUACGAGCGUUAAUCGGAAUUACGUGGGCGAAAGCGUACGUCGGAUGUUAAAGCCCCGGGCUCAACCUGGGUGCGGCAUUCGAUACUGGCAGACUUGAAUACGGUAGAGGGGGGUGGAAUUCCAGGUGUAGCGGUGAAAUGCGUAGAGAUCUGGAGGAACACCAGUGGCGAAGGCGGCCCCCUGGACCGAUAUUGACGCUGAGGUACGAAAGCGUGGGGAGCAAACAGGAUUAGAUACCCCAGUAGUC
rnacentral:rRNA from 1 species